AGUACUCGGGAUUGAAUCCAGGGUCUCUGCACUGAGUUGUACCCCAGCCCUUUAUUUUUUCUUUUGAGACAGGCUGCUAUCUUGCUCAGGCUGCGUGGGAAUUUGUAAUCCUCCCUCAGCCUCUCAGACUUCUGGGAUUACAGGUGUGCAUCAUCUUUUUUAGUUCAAUGAUAUGUCAAACAAACGCUAAGGUAGUCUCUUUGUAAGUGUAUGGAUACAUUUAGAAGGCAGUUUCUCAGCCUGGAAUUGUUCUAAAUGAGAGUGUUUUGGUUGAAAGAUUAGGAGGAAAUAAGCAUUGACAAGUAGCAUGGAGUACCAACAAAAUCAGGAAAAAUGAAGUUUAAGAUGAUGUCUUUAUAAGAUUCUAUUCAAAUUAACAGAAAUAGAAAAACUAUACAUAAUACCCCAGUAUUUUUGCCCCUAACCCUUUAACUCUAAGCCUUGCACACAUGACCAAUAUGUAUUUUCCUAGCAAUGGGAGUUGAACCUUAAAAACUACCUGUAGUGCCAGGUGUGGUAAUGCACACCUGUGACUUCAGCACACUUGAGGCAAAAGGGUCACUGUGAGUUUGAGGGCAGCCUGAACUGCACAGUGAGCCUUUGCCUCAGUAAAAACAAAAACAAACAGAAAACCUAUCUGUUGAUGGUUGUAUCUACACAUCCCCCACAGAGCCACCGCAGGCAUAGAUGGGAUUUUCAAAGGUGGCUGGCUCUGUGAUGCUGGGAUUAAGGGCGUCCCACCCUGGGUGUGACUGGGUGGCACGUAAAAGACAGCAAGAGGGCUGCUGCUGUCACUUGCUGCUGCUGUUUCUGCUGCUGCCGCCUGCAAUGGACUUCAGUGGACUGUUCGUUUCUCCUCUGUGCUGCCCCUCUGCCCUGCCACCCUACCUGAGAACAGCUACCAACUGAAACUUCUACAAACUGUGAGCUAAAAUAUCCACAAGAACUAUAACAUCUUUGGAACAUCAGCUCUAAUGACAAUCAGUUGCUUCAGACCUCAAAAAUAUUCUUCUGACCCUUUACACCUCUCUCACAGUGUCAGUGGCUACAAACUGAAGACAUUUCCCUAUAUGACAGCGCUAAAUUAUUCCUCAACAACUUGUGUGGCCCUGAGAAACCGACAGGACCCAGCCAGGUUCAGACAACUUGAUUCGUCUUUGCUAAGACAGAAACUCCAGGCCUUCAUGCUUCUUCACACGCUCAGGACCGCAUGUAUGAAACAAACCCCAAUCAGACCUCACCCACACCAUCUGAUCCACUUUUAGGCUACUAGAUGUAACAGUGAGGCUGGGUGAGGGCAAACCUAUACUCCUAGCAGUUGGGAGGCUAAGGAAGACAACUGUAAGUUCAAGGCCCACCUCGGUACCCCAGUGAGCCCCUGUCUCAAAAUGAAAAAUAGGAAGAGCUGGGAUUUAGCUCAGAGCAAAGAACCCAGGGUUCAGCCCCCAAUGCAGCCUUGUUUUCUUUUUUACUUAAACAGGUUUUUACUUAGUGAUUUUCGGUGACUUUUCAGGUAAACAGAAGCUCUACUUCCAGUAGCCCACUUCUCAGAAGAAGGGUUGUUCCUUUCUAUAUUUGGUAGAGAAAAACUAAAAAAUAUACAUAUAACUUGAACAUUAAAAAGAAAAAUAUUUAGAAAUCAUGUAAGUAACAUACUGGAGAUAUUAGAUAAGGAAACAGGUAUAAAAGGGGAAGGUGGAAAGAGGAUUGGGGAUCCCUCUCCGUCUCCAACGUCUGUGACGAGCAAUACUGUCCUAUUUGCCAUGUAAAGAUUAGUCUUGAACCCAAAUUCCUUGAGUCAAAUAUAGUCUUAAACUAGUUUUAAAUUCUUUUAAGUCAACAGUUAAUAAACUCCUAAUUAAAUGUUCAGUAAUAAUAUAUGCAGAUUGCUGUUUAGAAAAAAUUUAUACAAAUGAUUUUAAUAUGUCCUGAAAGAACAUAGAUCAAGUAGCAGGUAAAUUUUCAUGUUAAACACAAGUUAUUUAUACAGUUUAACUAGGAAGGUAGAAAAUGGAUAAAAUCACCGCUUAUAUAAUUUCCAACUCUGCCUUCUCUGAUAAACUAGAAAAAUGAAACUUCAAUUUUUUUCAUUAAAUUUAUUCCUUCUGCUUUAUUUGAUUUGAUUUAAUGUGUUUUCUGAGCUCAGAAAGGUAAGUGUGCCAGUCUGCCUUUUUGUUUAGUGUUUCUGUUCCCAUUAUCUUGUAGUUUUUAAUAAAAAUAUUUAAAACUUGUCUAUUUGGCUAAACCUAGGUAAUCAGGCAGACGCAUACAGCAAACACACGCAAGUGAGCAGAGUGAGGCCACCGCCCAUCCAACUCCUCCAGGAGACCCCAUGAGUAGUUUACGGUACAAACCAUCAAUCUACACUACUGGCAGCAGCUACAUUAAACAUGGGCCAAAGCUCUUUUUUUAAAUAAAAAGUUUAAAUAAAAGUUCUGUUUUCUUCCUAUACUGCCAAUGCAUCACUUUGGAGGCCCAUGCACUAAAAAUUAGGUUUCCAGCACCUAGGAGGUUCUCAACAAAUACUGAAGAAUAAAAGCAGCAUGUCAGCUACUCAGAUUUUUUCUGGAUGUUGUUCACAUUAUGUCUGGGGACUAUCAUGUAACCCAACUGUCUCAAGUAAAAUUUUGAAAGUAAAAAUGUGGGGGAAGGACUGCUUACAAUACCAAGUUUUCUUCAGAAAAAGACUAUAUAUCUUUGCUUUGUAUCCUUCUUUCAUAACAUUUACUCCUAGAGCAUAGCUGAAAUUUUUGACAUUUUGCUGAAUUUUUUUUUCUUUUGGGCAUUUUUACUUUGACUGAUGACUGCUAACAGAAGAGAAAGUGAUUAGAUUUAGGAUAGCUGGGCAUGGUGGUGCAGGCCUGUAACCUCAUGACUCAGGAGGCUAAAGCAGUAGGGCUGGACUGAAUUCAAAGCCAAUCUGAGCUAUAUAGUGAGUCACUCACUACAUAGUGAGACCCUGUCUCAAAAAAAGAUUUUGCAUGUUUAUAAUGUAUUUAACUUCCAAAAGUUCUAAUUAAUUCUAGUUGCAGUUUUCUAUCAGAGUUCCCUGGGGUCUUCUGGGUGUUCCAGCAACUAGUUUUUACAUAAAAAUAUUUUCGUUUCCAAUAUUUACUUGAAUUAUUUCACUACUUUACCACAAUGACUAGAACUGCCAAAACAAUGUUUCGUAAGUGAUGAUCAUGUAUAUGAUAACAGGAAGUAUUUCUCUUUUUCCUGAUUUAAUGUUAAUGGCAUUAGCAUUUCAUCAUGUACUGUGAUGUUUCCUGUUUUUUGAUAACUGUAACAGUUUAAUAGUUUCAUUUCAAUGUUAUUAAUUUAAAUGAGAAUUGACUUAUAAUAAAUAUUUUAGGUUUUUGUUUCAAUUAUAGUCAAUAACUAUUUUAAUUAGUAAAAAUGGCUUAUUUUCUUCUUGGAGUUUCUAUUAGAUUUCUGUCUUAAGGUUUCCAAAGUUUCAUAAUAUUAAUGUACUCUACUAGCUACUCAUUACCUGUGGCCAUUUAAAUUUAUAUUAAUUUAAAAUAAAACAAAAUAUUUAAAUUCUCAGCCACACCAGCCAUAUUGUUAUGGUUUGUAUUUACAUAUCCCCCAAAAAACAAUGCAGGCACAGGUGGGGCAUUUGGAGAUGGCUGGGUUCAGGCUGUGUGGACGUGGACUAAAGGUAUGGAUAAGGGAAGCCUCACACUGGGUAUGGGUGGCACCAAUCAAUAAACUUGUAACUAGGUGG